rnacentral:rRNA from 1 species
CCCUUAGAUGUUCUGGGCCGCACGCGCGCUACACUGACGAUGGCAACGAGUUUUUCCUUCGCCGAAAGGUGUGGGUAAUCUUUUGAAACAUCGUCGUGCUGGGGAUAGAUCAUUGCAAUUUUUGAUCUUGAACGAGGAAUUCCUAGUAAGCGCGAGUCAUCAGCUCGCGUUGAUUACGUCCCUGCCCUUUGUACACACCGCCCGUCGCUACUACCGAUUGAAUGGUUUAGUGAGGACUCCUGAUCGGCGCCGCCGCCCCGGCAACGGAGCAGCGGACUGCCGAAAAGUUGUUCAAACUUGAUCAUUUAGAGGAAGUAAAAGUCGUAACA